AGAAGCUCCGUUCUACGGGUCU
rnacentral:miRNA from 1 species